ACGGUAUCGGUCUCGUUGGUGGAAGUAUUGAUCAAUGGAUGCUCCCCCAAAGGUUUAUGACUCUUUAAAUGUCACCCAUUCAUUAUCAUGCAGUGUCAGCACUUUAUGAACUCUAUACAACUUUUUGAAGUAGACCGACGAGUUAAUAUUUCUAAUCAUUGAAAACAUUAGUUGGAGAAAGUCAAACACUACAACAUGGGCAUAUCGACUGGGCAAUAUAAGGAUGCUGCGGAGAAGAUGGUAGUUACUAGUUAAUUCGAUGCUAUUAAUGGCGGUUGGUCCCUCUUCUUUCACGUUGAGUUCCUACAUGUUUAAAAUCCAUUUUGUUUCCGUUUGGUCGACUAGCAUUAUUACUUAUGAUAAACAAAAAAGAAUACUGAAUUAUUAACAUUUAAGGUUUUAGUGGACAUCGUUUAACAAACCAUUAGGUAUACAUUAUACACUUGUAUCUUAAUUAGUGACAGUGACUCUAAUGUGAACUCUCCAUUGUGUGU
rnacentral:lncRNA from 1 species